GUAGGUGGUUCGCCUACUAGAGCCUGCCGUGACUAUAAAUAAUGGCGCAGUCUGCCAGCGUUGCAGGCAACAUCUCUAACAUGCUAGAAGUUACUGUACAGUAUCACUAGCAGCACGCCCUGUCGUGUCCACAGAUCAAAUAGAGGUGGCCCUCCGGGGUUGAGACAUGAUCGAUUAGAAGCCUGAAAUGGAUUUUAGUGGAAGGAACCUGCGGAAGGAUCAUUACAGAGAACUUGCCCUUCGGGGUAGAUCUCCCACCCUUUGUUUACAUUACCUUUGUUGCUUUGGCGGGCCCGUCUCACGACCACCGGCUUCGGCUGGUCAGUGCCCGCCAGAGGACCCCAAACUCUUUUGUUAAUGUCGUCUGAGUACUAUAUAAUAGUUAAAACUUUCAACAACGGAUCUCUUGGCUCUC
rnacentral:misc_RNA from 1 species